AGUGGCGUGACGUCAUUGUGAUGGUCGGUGGCAGCGUCAUCAAAAGGGGCCUCCUUUUCCGCCCAUUUAGCAGGAAAUUGUCAAUGUUGGUGGCGAGGCAGCUUCUUGUUGGUCAGCUCUGUCUGGUGAUUGGCAGUGGCUGGCCUCUGGACUUUUGUUGGAGUUGACGGUGGUAGUGCUGCUGAUGAGGCCUUCAAAUUUCGCCCAUUAUGCCUCGAGAGAGUUGCAGGAGUGGCGAGGCAGCUGCUGGAGGGGCAGAUCUGUCGGUUUAAUAGCAGGUUUUAUUGGCAUUAAACUUCUGCUAUUUGGCGCAAUCAGUAGACGCCGUAUAAUCCGUCGCUUUCGAAGUCGCCACUGGAUUGUCCAUUUAGGAACCUACGUAGGUCAUCGUAAGGCUCUUCGUCGGUCCAUUGGCUGUCAUCGUCCAUGUCCAUAUCCGGCUCAGUGUCCGAUAUAGCUACUGCUGUUUCUGUAUUGGCUGCUGGUUGUGAUGGCGGCGGGUGUGUAGGUGCUGUUGCCUGUAGUCGUCGUCCUUCCCAGCAACAGCAGCCCCAUAUCCACGCCCCCAAGCAGCAGCACCCAUCUCAAAAGAAGCGGCCACAACACCAACCCCAACUGCAACAGCAGCAUUCAAGCGGCCGACAGGGGGCCAAACCAGCAGCA